AUUGGGUGUGAGUUGGAAAACAUACCUUUGUAACUUUUCUAUAAAUCUAAAAUUAUUCCAAAAAAUUUUUAUUAAAAAGAAUCAGAUCAUGACUUCUAACUAAAGAAAACUAAGAAAGUGGGUCUGACAGAUUUGGAUUUAGGGUAGUCUUGGAGUAUAAUAUUCUUGGGUCCAGGAGAUGCAGAAUACUGGCUUUUACUCCUUAGAAGAUAACUCAAAACGCAGGGACAUAUUCGUGUUUGCAGUGCUUUAAAGCUUGACGCGAAUGUAGCCACUAACAAAGCAUAUCUCCCUCUCAAGCUCUCAUGGACUCUCUUCUAAUUGCCCAGUGAAAGAGCAGCAUCAAGAUGCUUGGGCAACAGCUAAUCGUUUAAAUCCAAAAACGAAGGAAAGGGAAAGAAUGCUCUUUGAAGACUCAGGAUAGGAGAAUUACCAAUGCAACGAAUAGAGCUUGUCUGAAAAUGAUGUUUGUCUCUAUCUUUUGCAAUAAGACCAAUAUUUAUUAAAGUAUGUUUGUGG
rnacentral:lncRNA from 1 species